UACGGAAGGCAGCAGUGGGGAAUAUUGCACAAUGGGCGAAAGCCUGAUGCAGCUAUGCCGCGUGUAUGAAGAAGGCCUUAGGGUUGUAAAGUACUUUCAUCGGGGAGGAAAAAACAAAACUAAUAAUUUUAUUUCUUGACGUUACCCGAAAAAGAAGCACCGGCUAACUCCGUGCCAGCAGCCGCGGUAAUACGGAGGGUGCUAGCGUUAAUCAGAAUUACUGGGCGUAAAGAGCACGUAGGUGGUUUUUUUAAAGUCAGAUGUGAAAUCCCUGGGCUUAACCUGGAACUGCAUUUUGAAACUGAAAUACUAGAGUAUCGUAGAGGGAGGUAGAAUUCUAGGUGUAGCGGUGAAAUGCGUAGAUAUCUGGAGGAAUACCUGUGGCGAAAGCGGCCUCCUAAACGAAUACUGACACUGAGGGUGCGAAAGCGUGGGGAGCAAACGAGGGAUUUAGAUACC
rnacentral:rRNA from 1 species